rnacentral:rRNA from 1 species
AGUGAACGCUGGCGGUAGGCCUAACACAUGCAAGUCGAACGGCAGCACAGUAAGAUCUUGCUCUUAUGGGUGGCGAGUGGCGGACGGGUGACGAAUAUAUCGGAAUCUACUUUUUCGUGGGGGAUAACGAAGGGAAACUUACUCUAAUACCGCAUAUGACCUACGGGUGAAAGCAGGGGAUCUUUGGAACUUGUGCGAUUGAACGAGCCGAUGUCGGAUUGGCUAGUUGGCGGGGUAAAGGCCCACCAAGGCGAGGAUCCGUAGCUGGUCUGAGAGGAUGAUAAGCCGCACUAGAUGUGAGACACGCUCCAGACGCCUAAGGGAGGGAGCAGUGGGGAAUAUUGGGCAAUGGGGGCAAACAUUAUCCAGUCAUACCGCGUAGGUGACGAAGGCCUUCGGGUUGUAAAGCCCUUUUGUUGGGAAAGAAAAGCAGCAGGUUAAUACCCCGCUGUUCUGACGGUACCCAAAGAAUAAGCACCGGCUAACUACGUG